rnacentral:rRNA from 1 species
UGGGGAAUAUUGCACAAUGGGGGAAACCCUGAUGCAGCGACCCCCCGUGGAGGAAGAAGGUCUUCGGAUUGUAAACUCCUGUUGUUGGGGAAGAUAAUGACGGUACCCAACAAGGAAGUGACGGCUAACUACGUGCCAGCAGCCGCGGUAAAACGUAGGUCACAAGCGUUGUCCGGAAUUACUGGGUGUAAAGGGAGCGCAGGCGGGAAGACAAGUUGGAAGUGAAAUCUAUGGGCUCAACCCAUAAACUGCUUUCAAAACUGUUUUUCUUGAGUAGUGCAGAGGUAGGCGGAAUUCCCGGUGUAGCGGUGGAAUGCGUAGAUAUCGGGAGGAACACCAGUGGCGAAGGCGGCCUACUGGGCACCAACUGACGCUGAGGCUCGAAAGUGUGGGUAGCAAACAGGAUUAGAUACCCUGGUAGUCCACACCGUAAACGAUGAUUACUAGGUGUUGGAGGAUUGACCCCUUCAGUGCCGCAGUUAACACAAUAAGUAAUCCACCUGGGGAGUACGACCGCAAGGUUGAAACUCAAAGGAAUUGACGGGGGCCCGCACAAGCAGUGGAGUAUGUGGUUUAAUUCGACGCAACGCGAAGAACCUUACCAAGUCUUGACAUCCCUUGACAGACAUAGAAAUAUGUUUUCUCUUCGGAGCAAGGAGACAGGUGGUGCAUGGUUGUCGUCAGCUCGUGUCGUGAGAUGUUGGGUUAAGUCCCGCAACGAGCGCAACCCUUAUGGUCAGUUACUACGCAAGAGGACUCUGGCCAGACUGCUGUUGACAAAACGGAGGAAGGUGGGGAUGACGUCAAAUCAUCAUGCCCUUUAUGACUUGGGCUACACACGUACUACAAUGGCGUUAAACAAAGAGAAGCAAGACCGCGAGGUGGAGCAAAACUCAGAAACAACGUCCCAGUUCGGACUGCAGGCUGCAACUCGCCUGCACGAAGUCGGAAUUGCUAGUAAUCGUGGAUCAGCAUGCCACGGUGAAUACGUUCCC